GAGAGAGAAAAUGUUCUACAGGAAUCAAAGCUUGUCAUUCACUCAGGCCCUCACUUGGUGGCAGUAUGUUAGAGAAGACUGCUUGUUCCAGAGCCUGGUUCUCAGCUUCGCAAUCUACAGAUCGUUCAUUCUAGCCACAUGUGCAAGGAUGUGAUAUACUAGAGUGCACAUUGAUUACUUGAACUUCCUUGAAAUAUCAUUUUCAAGACAAGACUACUAAGGACUAAUCUUCAUCAUCAUCAUCAUCAUUAACAUCAUCACAGCUGACAUUUACUGAACAUUAGCAAUGUGGUAAGCACGGCAGUAGGAGUUUUCACGUGUCUACUCAUGUAAUCCUCAAUGGAACCUUAAAGAAGACUACAAUGCCAGCAUCUGGGAUAACUACUAGAAUGUUCUCUGCCAUCCACUAAGCAUUGAAUCCCUCCAGACACUGUUACAAUAG